AGCCACUGCCAUAUCACCAUGCAGCCCAAGACCGCUUACUCACUGAAGCUAAGCAGGGCUGAGCCUGGUCAGUACCUGGAUGGGAGAUCACAUGGGAAAACUUGGUUGCUGUUUA
rnacentral:rRNA from 1 species